AUUGAACGCUGGCGGCAUGCUUUACACAUGCAAGUCGAACGGCAGCACGGGGGCAACCCUGGUGGCGAGUGGCGAACGGGUGAGUAAUAUAUCGGAACGUACCCGGAAAUGGGGGAUAACGUAGCGAAAGUUACGCUAAUACCGCAUAUGCCCUAAGGGGGAAAGCGGGGGACUCGCAAGAACCUCGCGUUUUCGGAGCGGCCGAUAUCGGAUUAGCUAGUAGGUGAGGUAAAGGCUCACCUAGGCGACGAUCCGUAGCUGGUCUGAGAGGACGACCAGCCACACUGGAACUGAGACACGGUCCAGACUCCUACGGGAGGCAGCAGUGGGGAAUUUUGGACAAUGGGCGCAAGCCUGAUCCAGCCAUGCCGCGUGAGUGAAGAAGGCCUCGGUUGUAAAGCGUCUUCUAGUCCGGAAAGAAAACGACACGGGUAAGUAACCUAGUGUGGAUGACGGUACCGGAAGAAGAAGACACCGGC
rnacentral:rRNA from 1 species